rnacentral:lncRNA from 1 species
CGGAAGUCUAACAUAUGAAUUUAUCUCUAGCCUCAGCUCCGUCCCGUCAGCACCGGCCAGCCAACCUGAAAACAUUUGAAAGUAUUUUUGGGCUAAGUACUAAUGUACUUAGUGGGCAUGCAUUUUCUGAAACAUUUCAUAUUUUCGUAAAGACAGUUUAUCCAAUCGUACUUGACAUAACUUAGAAGGUUUUAAAUUGAAAGAACUUCUAAGCAUGUUAAAAUAAUUUCUUUCAUUUGUGCGCACAUGUCACACUCCCUUUCCGUUACUCGCUGUGAUCCCGGACCUUUUAGCCACCGACGGAUCCAUUACUCCUGCUUUACUUGGACUGAGGGCGUAACCCAGCCAAGUUCCCAUUUGGGACCCAAUGCUCCGGAACACAUCCCGUCGAGCACCCUUAUAACGCCUCAUACAUGAUUAGUGCCCGAUGGAGAUCAACCCACCAGGUCAGCUAAUAGGUGUACACAAUUCUCAAAUAACGUGUUAGGUCAAGAGAGAACCUCGAUCGAUUCAUUGUUGCGAGCCUUAAACGGAGCAGAGUGCACAAAAUAUUUUAUUGGAUAAACAGUUUGCAUUUUAUUGAAUAAACAAUUUGCAUUUCAUUGAAAACAUUUAGAGCUUAAUAACUCAAUCAUACUUUGUACAUUUGGAAAGUAAGCCCACCUGGUUAGGCAAAGCCUGAAGAUCAUAAUCACAUAUAAACCUGUCUUGGGAAAGCAGCGCUAAUCCCCCUGGUCACAAAGCCUACAAGAAAUUCUAUUCUUAAUAGGUCUCGUGAAGCUAAUCUUACUUCUUAGUGAGUGCACUAAACAUUCUAUGAUUCAUCACGCCGAGUUCUCAAAAUUUAAUAAAUAAUUGAAAACAUUUCUCUUGAGUUAAGAACACCAACAAUAUUCUUACUCGUCUUUCUUUAAUAAUUGGAAUUAUAAUUAAAACCAAUUAAAUCAUGAUGCAAAUGCAUAGCUCAUUUCAUACUUUAAUAAUGUAAUAAGUAAUUAUUUGAAAAUAUGCACUUCAUGAUGCUAAUAAUAUUAUAAUGCAAAUCAUCUUUAAAAUAAUUUAAUCAAACUAAUUAUUAGUCUAAUUAAAUAAAAUAGGGAAGCCAUUUAAAUAGAUGAAAUAGAGCCCAUGCUUAAAUAAAUAAUAGCCCAUACCAAUUAAAAGAUGAGGCCCAACUCAAUAAAAUAGGAAUGGCCCAGACUGAAUAAAAUAAAUCGGGCCCAGCUCAAUUAGGCCCAGCCCUAAUAGCCCAAAAACCUCUUUUCUUCCUUUCCUCCCUCACAGCUGCGCCUCUUCUCCCCCAUUUCGUCUCUCUCUCCAUUCACUCUCAAAAUGAAAUCCACUCAACUCUCUCUCGGCCUUCCGGCAACAGCAGCCGAGCCACCGUCGCCGACACCCUCAGCAAUACCCAGCCCAGACCACCUCUCUCUCUCCAGCCGUGGCCGGGCAGCAGCGGCACCGCCGCCGUGCCCUGCCUCCCUCCGCUGAUCCUAUCGAAGCAGUCGCCCAUCCCCCUACCCUCUGCUCCCUCCGGCCGACAGCAGCGAGGACCGCCGCUGACCGCCGCCCCCUGACCUCUAGUCCAGCCCUCUGCAACCCCAGCUCAGUCCAUCUCCCUCUGUUUCCGGCGAGUAGCAGCGGAAGCCGCCACUUCGCCGCCCCUCCACCGACUCACACACAUACCGCACAUACUCAACAGGACACACAUACACAACAGUCAAGCCUCGACCAAGCCUCGACAUAGCAAGUUCGAAAAGUUAAAGCUUCAAGACUCUUCUUUCAUAAAGAUCUUUUCUUUUCUUUUCCUUUCAAUGAAUCAUGCUUUCAUUUAUAAAUAUAUGCACAGACUAUGAAUAAACAUGUAUACAGAUUGUAUGCAUUUAUGUAAAUAAUUUGUCAUGCUUGUGAAUUUGUUAUGAAAAUAUUGAAAUCUUGGUUGGUGUUCUGUACAAACGAGAUAGCUGUGUGUGCUUGAAACAGAGGCAAAGUAAAUUGAGGUAAACACCUUGUGAUGUCUGUGUAGGGGAAGAGUUCUUUGAAUGGUGGUCUCUUGUUGUAUACUUGAAACUCCAUGGAUAGGCUGGAACGAGAGAGUAAUUUGAAGGAUAUUUGAGUUGCU